GAUGAACGCUGGCGGCGUGCUUAACACAUGCGAGUCGAACGGUGAAGGCGGAGCUUGCUCUGCUGGAUCAGUGGCGAACGGGUGAGUAACACGUGAGCAAUCUGCCCCUGACUCUGGGAUAAGCGCUGGAAACGGCGUCUAAUACUGGAUACGAGCUGCGAAGGCAUCUUCAGCAGCUGGAAAGAACUUCGGUCAGGGAUGAGCUCGCGGCCUAUCAGCUUGUUGGUGAGGUAACGGCUCACCAAGGCGUCGACGGGUAGCCGGCCUGAGAGGGUGACCGGCCACACUGGGACUGAGACACGGCCCAGACUCCUACGGGAGGCAGCAGUGGGGAAUAUUGCACAAUGGGCGAAAGCCUGAUGCAGCAACGCCGCGUGAGGGACGACGGCCUUCGGGUUGUAAACCUCUUUUAGCGGGGAAGAAGCGAAAGUGACGGUACCUGCAGAAAAAGCGCCGGCUAACUACGUG
rnacentral:rRNA from 1 species